rnacentral:rRNA from 1 species
GUAGUUAGCCGUGGCUUCCUCCUCAGGUACCGUCAUUAUCGUCCCUGAAGACAGAGGUUUACAAUCCGAAGACCUUCUUCCCUCACGCGGCGUCGCUGCAUCAGAGUUUCCUCCAUUGUGCAAUAUUCCCCACUGCUGCCUCCCGUAGGAGUCUGGACCGUGUCUCAGUUCCAGUGUGGCCGAUCAGCCUCUCAGCUCGGCUACCCAUCGUCGACUUGGUGGGCCGUUACCCCGCCAACUGGCUAAUGGGACGCGAGCUCACCCCGGGAUCGGAUUGCUCCUUUUACCCCUCCCCAUGCGAGGGCGUGGUCUUAUGCGGUAUUAGCAACUGUUUCCAGUUGUUAUCCCCCAUUCCGGGACAGAUUGCUCACGCGUUACUCACCCGUCCGCCACUCGCUUACACCCGAAGGCCUAAGCUCGUUCGACUUGCAUGUGUUAAGCACGCCGCCAGCGUUCGUCCUGAGCCAUAAUCAAACUCUGA